rnacentral:rRNA from 1 species
UAGGGAAUAUUAGUAAUGGGCGAAAGCCUGAACUAGCAACACCGCGUGUGCGAAGAAGGCCUUCGGGUUGUAAAGCACUUUUUGAGAGGAUGAGGAAGGACGGUACUCUCAGAAUAAGUCUCGGCUAACUACGUGCCAGCAGCCGCGGUAACACGUAGGAGGCGAACGUUAUCCGGAUUUACUGGGCGUAAAGCGCGUGUAGGUGGUUUGGUAAGUAGAGCGUGAAAGCUCCGGGCUCAACUGGGAGAGGGCGUUCUAAACUGCCGGACUAGAGGAUGGUAGAGGGAGGUGGAAUUCCGGGUGUAGCGGUGGAAUGCGCAGAUAUCCGGAGGAACACCAGUGGCGAAAGCGGCCUCCUGGACCAUUCCUGACACUCAGACGCGAAAGCUAGGGUAGCAAACG